GAUGAACGCUGGCGGCGUGCCUAAUACAUGCAAGUCGAGCGAACAGACGCGGAGCUUGCUCCUCUGAUGUUAGCGGCGGACGGGUGAGUAACACGUGGAUAACCUACCUAUAAUACUGGGAUAACUUCGGGAAACCGGAGCUAAUACCGGAUAACAUGUUGAACCGCAUUGUUCAACAGUGAAAGACGGUCUUGCUGUCACUUAUAGAUGGAUCCGCGCCGCAUUAGCUAGUUGGUAAGGUAACGGCCUACCAAGGCAACGAUGCGUAGCCGACCCGAGAGGGUGAUCGGCGACACUGGAACUGAGACGCGGUCCAGACUCCUACGGGAGGGAGCAGAAGGGUAUCUGCCGCAAUAGUGGAAAGUCUGACGGAACGAGGCCACGUGAGUGGAGGAGGUCUUCGGAGCGGAAAGAUCGGUUAUUAGGGAAGAACAAAUGUGGAAGUAAAUAUGCACGACUUGACGGUACCUAAACAGAAAGCCACGGCUAACUACGUG
rnacentral:rRNA from 1 species